CUACGUGCCAGCAGCCGCGGUAAUACGUAGGGUGCGAGCGUUAAUCGGAAUUACUGGGCGUAAAGCGAGCGCAGACGGUUACUUAAGCAGGAUGUGAAAUCCCCGGGCUCAACCUGGGAACUGCGUUCUGAACUGGGUGACUAGAGUGUGUCAGAGGGAGGUAGAAUUCCACGUGUAGCAGUGAAAUGCGUAGAGAUGUGGAGGAAUACCGAUGGCGAAGGCAGCCUCCUGGGAUAACACUGACGUUCAUGCUCGAAAGCGUGGGUAGCAAACAGGAUUAGAUACCCUGGUAGUCCACGCCCUAAACGAUGUCAAUUAGCUGUUGGGCGACUUGAUUGCUUAGUAGCGUAGCUAACGCGUGAAAUUGACCGCCUGGGGAGUACGGUCGCAAGAUUAAAACUCAAAGGAAUUGACGGGGACCCGCACAAGCGGUGGAUGAUGUGGAUUAAUUCGAUGCAACGCGAAGAACCUUACCUGGUCUUGACAU
rnacentral:rRNA from 1 species